rnacentral:rRNA from 1 species
GACGAACGCUGGCGGCGUGCCUAAUACAUGCAAGUUGAGCGCUGAAGGUGGGUACUUGUACCAACUGGAUGAGCAGCGAAGGGGUGAGUAACGCGUGGGAAAUCUGCCUUUGAGCGGGGGACAACAUUGGGAAACGAAUGCUAAUACCGCAUAAAAACUUUAAACACAAGUUUUAAGUUUGAAAGAUGCAAUUGCAUCACUCAAAGAUGAUCCCGCGUUGUAUUAGCUAGUUGGUGAGGUAAAGGCUCACCAAGGCGAUGAUACAUAGCCGACCUGAGAGGGGGGUCCGCCACAUUGGGAAUGGGACACGGCCCAAGCUCCUUCGGGGGGCAGCAGUAGGGAAACUUCGCGAAUGGACGAAAGUCUGGCCGGGCCACGCCGGGGGAGUGAAGAAGGGUUUCGGAUCGGAAAACUCUGUUGGUAGAGAAGAACGUUGGUGAGAGUGGACAGCUCAUAAAGUGACGGUAACUACCCAGAAAGCGACGGCUAACUACGUG